rnacentral:lncRNA from 1 species
GUUUUUACACCUUAACAUGUACUUAUGUUUGAUUGCAGUAAUUCAUCCACCUGCAUGAAGUACUCCUCCAGGAGACAGUCGACCCAGGGCUCUGCCACUUCCAUGGGCCGAACCUCAUUAGAUAUGUCGCAACACUUGAUCAGCACCAUCUUCAGCUGCCACAGAUACAGAGACACCGGGUGAUUCUAGAACUGCAGGUACAUUUCACAUCUCCAAGAAGAAAGACACAAACAUGUUUGGAACAAUGGAGGAUGAGUAAAUGGUUUCUGGAAUUUGCAUAUUUUGUACUACAAUGGCGACUUUGGGGCACACCUGACGAAUCUGUUUGAAGGCUUCUGGAUCGAAGCUGGCGAAGAUGUUGCAGUCUGGCUGAGAGAAGAUCUGGAAGGCCACAGCACAGUGAUGGUUCUCCAGAGGAGAGAUGUCAUUGUACCUCACAGCCAGCUCUGUGCGCGCGUUUAUCUGAUAGCUGGACAGAGGAGGGACUGUGUAUGAUCUACAAACACUCAACAGCUGAAACCUAAUGCAAAUACAAAAUGUAUUUGCAUUCGGUAUCCAAGUGGCAGUGGAUGACAUGGAUCACUGACUUGCUAUAAAUACACAUAAGAUAAAUAUGUUACAUUGUCUACAUGGUGUCUCAGUGGUUAGCACUUUUGCCUCAAAGCAAAAAGGUUGCAGGAUCGAGUCCCGGCUGGGCCAGUUGGCAUUUCUGUUUGCACUAUUUGUGAAUUGAAUAAACUAAAUUGGCC